GAGGUUAUAGCUCAGUGGAAGGGUGUGUGCUUAGCAUACAUAAGGUCCUGGGUUCAAUCUCCAGUACUUCCA
rnacentral:tRNA from 1 species